AACGAACGCUGGCGGCAUGCCUAACACAUGCAAGUCGAACGAGACCUUCGGGUCUAGUGGCGCACGGGUGCGUAACGCGUGGGAACCUGCCUUUAGGUUCGGAAUAACUCAGAGAAAUUUGAGCUAAUACCGGAUGAGGUCUUCGGACCAAAGAUUUAUCGCCUUUAGAUGGGCCCGGGUUGGCUUCGCUAGUUGGUGGGGUAAAGGCCUACCAAGGCGACGAUCCAUAGCUGGUCUGAGAGGAUGCUCAGCCACGCUGGGACUGAGACCCGGCCCACACUCCUACGCGAGGCUGCAGUGGGGUGUAUUAGACGCUGGGCCCAAGCCUGAUACAGCAGUGUGGCGUGAGUGAUGAAGGCCUUAGGAUUGUAAAUCUCUUUUACACGAGACGAUAGUGACAGUAUCGGGAGAAUAAGCUCCGGCUAACUACGUG
rnacentral:rRNA from 1 species